rnacentral:misc_RNA from 1 species
GAACUGCGAUAAGUAAUGUGAAUUGCAGAAUUCAGUGAAUCAUCGAGUCUUUGAACGCACAUUGCGCCCCCUGACAUUCCGGGGGGCAUGCCUGUCCGAGCGUCAUUGCUGCCCUUCAAGCCCGGCUUGUGUGUUGGGUCGUCGUCCCCCCCGGGGGACGGACCCGAAAGGCAGCGGCGGCACCGUGUCCGGUCCUCGAGCGUAUGGGGCUUUGUCACCCGCUCGAUUAGGACCGGCCGGGCGCCCGCCGGCGUCAAACCCCAAUCUUUCUAAGGUUGACCUCGGAUCAGGUAGGGAUACCCGCUGAACUUAAGC